rnacentral:rRNA from 1 species
GACGAACGCGGGCGGCGUGCCUAAUACAUGCAAGUCGAACGCACGAAGUUGAAGAGCUUGCUCUUUAACCAAGUGAGUGGCGGACGGGUAAGUAACACGUGGGUAACCUACCCAUUAGAGGGGGAUAACAUUCGGAAACGGAUGCUAAAACCGCAUAGUUCCAGGAAUCGCAUGAUUCGUGAAGGAAAGGUGGCUUCGGCUACCACUAAUGGAUGGACCCGCGGCGUAUUAGCUAGUUGGUGAGGUAAUGGCUCACCAAGGCAAUGAUACGUAGCCGACCUGAGAGGGUGAUCGGCCACACUGGGACUGAGACACGGCCCAGACUCCUACGGGAGGCAGCAGUAGGGAAUCUUCCGCAAUGGACGAAAGUCUGACGGAGCAACGCCGCGUGAGUGAAGAAGGUUUUCGGAUCGUAAAACUCUGUUGUUAAAGAAGAACAAGGAUGAGAGUAACUGCUCAUCCCCUGACGGUAUUUAACCAGAAAGCCACGGCUAACUACGUGCCAGCAGCCGCGGUAAUACGUAGGUGGCAAGCGUUGUCCGGAUUUAUUGGGCGUAAAGCGAGCGCAGGCGGUUCUUUAAGUCUGAUGUGAAAGCCCCCGGCUCAACCGGGGAGGGUCAUUGGAAACUGGAGAACUUGAGUGCAGAAGAGGAGAGUGGAAUUCCACGUGUAGCGGUGAAAUGCGUAGAUAUGUGGAGGAACACCAGUGGCGAAGGCGACUCUCUGGUCUGUAACUGACGCUGAGGCUCGAAAGCGUGGGGAGCAAACAGG